UACGUAGGGUGCGAGCGUUGUCCGGAAUUAUUGGGCGUAAAGAGCUUGUAGGCGGUUUGUCGCGUCUGCUGUGAAAACUCAGGGCUUAACCCUGAGCUUGCAGUGGGUACGGGCAGACUAGAGUGCGGUAGGGGAGACUGGAAUUCCUGGUGUAGCGGUGAAAUGCGCAGAUAUCAGGAGGAACACCGGUGGCGAAGGCGGGUCUCUGGGCCGUAACUGGACGC
rnacentral:rRNA from 1 species